UACGGAGGGUGCGAGCGUUAUCCGGAAUUACUGGGUUUAAAGGGUGCGUAGGCGGCUAUGUAAGUCAGGAGUGAAAGUUUGCGGCUCAACCGUAAAAUUGCUGUUGAUACUGCAUGGCUAGAAUUAGGUUGAGGUUAGCGGAAUGUGGCAUGUAGCGGUGAAAUGCAUAGAUAUGCCAUAGAACACCAAUUGCGAAGGCAGCUGGCUAGACCUUUAUUGACGCUGAGGCACGAAAGCGUGGGGAGCGAACAGG
rnacentral:rRNA from 1 species